AAAAACAUCUUUUCUUGAUUUAAUAUGAGAUUUGACCUGCCCAAUGAUUUAUUUAAUGGCCGCGGUAUUUUGACUGUGCAAAGGUAGCAAAAUCAUUAGUUUAUUAAUUGUGAACUUGUAUGAAUGGUUUGACGAAAUAUUAACUGUUUCUUAUUUAUGAUUAGAAUUUAAAUUUUGAGUUAAAAUGCUUAAUUUUAUUUUAUUAGACGAGAAGACCCUAUAGAUCUUUAUUUUUUUUUAUAUUAAUAAUUGGUAUAUUUAUAAUAUAAUGAUUUUUUUUGUUGGGGUGACAUGGAGAUAUUUGUAUUAAACUCUUUAUUUUUAUAUACAUUUAUUUUUGAUUAUUUGAUUUUAUUAUAAUAAUUUAAGAUUAGAUACCUUAGGGAUAACAGCGUUAUUUUUUUUGAGAGUUCUUAUUGA
rnacentral:rRNA from 1 species